rnacentral:rRNA from 1 species
AUGCACGCUGGCGGCGCGCCUAACCCAUGCAAGUCGAACGAUUAAAGCACCUUCGGGUGUGUAUAAAGUGGCGAACGGCUGAGUAACACGUGGGCAACCUGCCCCUUUCAUUGGGAUAGCCACGGGAAACCGUGGAUAAUACCGAAUACUUCGAGACUUCCGCAUGGAAGACUCGAGAAAGCUCCGGCGGAGAGGGAUGGGCCCGCGGCCUGUUAGCUUGUUGGUGGGGUAACGGCCUACCAAGGCAAUGAUGGGUAGCUGGGUUGAGAGACCGACCAGCCAGAUUGGGACUGAGACACGGCCCAGACUCCUACGGGAGGCAGCAGUGGGGAAUCUUGCACAAUGGGCGAAAGCCUGAUGCAGCGACGCCGCGUGCGGGAUGAAGGCCUUCGGGUUGUAAACCGCUUUCAGCAGGGACGAGGCGAAAGUGACGGUACCUGCAGAAGAAGCCCCGGCUAACUACGUG